rnacentral:lncRNA from 1 species
AUGAGAGCUUACUUAAUGGUUGGGCCUGACACUCUUCUGAGGGCUCUGCCUGUGUUGACUCAUCAAUUUCUGGUCCAUCUGGUGAGACGGGGCCUCUUAUUAUCUCCAUCUUACAGCCGAGGAAACUGCAGCUCCAUGAGGCUAAAUGUCUCAUCCACCACUGAGCGGGGAUUCACACCAGACGCCAGACUUCAAGAGCGUGCGUGCUUCUCAGUAUUAAAAGAGGAAUCUGGGGAGUCUUUGUUUUCAAUGGCAGCUUAUUAUGUUACCAAGUCUGUAAUAGUAACUAUGAAUGGCGUAAAUUGGGACACUGGGCAGAUGUCACAAUGGUUCUUUAACAGCUGCAGAAAAAUCAAGAAGACCCACAGGCAAAUUUCGAAGAAUGCAUGGCUAAUUUACAAACAAGGGGGAAACAGAACGUUGAGAAACUCAGCGGCUCCAAAGACUGCAGUAGAUGGGAAACAAUUGGGAAAGCGGCCUCCGCGACUUUCAGAGAGCGCGUGCCUCGUUCGGCCUCCUACGCAGAAACCCACAGCAGAAUGUGCGCGGCGAACACGUGGCCGCGCUGCCGUCGCUUCCCCCGAGUCCUUCCGCGCACAGGAGGGUCCUUGACCAAGCACAGGAGGGUCCCAUCGCACACAGGACGGCUCCUCUGCUGGGCUCCUUCGAGAUGCUCAGGGAUCUCAAGACGGAGCAUGUUGGAGAAGCAAGUGGUCAUCACAAGGCCCCUGGGUCCACGGAGGAACCUCUGCAGGAGAUUUCUGUAUAACCUUUAAAUCCUGUUCCUGCCUGUGCCUUGGUCCCCUUGGAUUGGCCGUGAGUUGUACACAGGCUGCUUUUGUAAGAUGGUGAGAACUAUUGCCGAUAUUUUAAAUGGCUGACUCAGAACUUUCCCCUCUUCUUUUCUCCUAAACACAUUAUUUUCAGGAAAUCUAUGUUGUAAGACAGGACUCUGCAAUUACAGUCUUGGGGCCAAACCCCUCCCUCAGCAUGUUCUUGUAAAUAAAGUUUUAUUGGCAGUCCGCCA